rnacentral:rRNA from 1 species
GAUGAACGCUGGCGGCGUGCCUAAUACACGCAAGUCGAGCGAACAGACGAGGAGCUUGCUCCUCUGACGUUAGCGGCGGACGGGUGAGUAACACGUGGAUAACCUACCUAUAAGACUGGGAUAACUUCGGGAAACCGGAGCUAAUACCGGAUAAUAUAUUGAACCGCAUGGUUCAAUAAUGAAAGACGGUUUUGCUGUCACUUAUAGAUGUAUCCGCGCCGCAUUAGCUAGUUGGUAAGGUAACGGCUUACCAAGGCAACGAUGCGUAGCCGACCUGAGAGGGUGAUCGGCCACACUGGAACUGAGACACGGUCCAGACUCCUACGGGAGGCAGCAGUAGGGAAUCUUCCGCAAUGGGCGAAAGCUUGACGGAGCAACGCCGCGUGAGUGAUGAAGGUCUUCGGAUCGUAAAACUCUGUUAUUAGGGAAGAACAAAUGUGUAAGUAACUAUGCACGUCUUGACGGUACCUAAUCAGAAAGCCACGGCUAGCUACGUG